rnacentral:rRNA from 1 species
GCAGUGGUGGGCUGCCGAAGAUACUGCAUAGCUAGGGAGUGGGAGAGGUAGACGGUGCUCAGUAGGAAGGGGUAGAAUCCUUUGAUCUAUUGAUGACCACCUGUGGCGAAGGCGGUCUACCAGAACACGUUCGACGGUGAGGGAUGAAAGCUGGGGGAGCAAACCGGAUUAGAUACCCGGGUAGUCCCAGCUGUAAACGAUGCAGACUCGAUGAUGCAUUGGCUUAUCGCCAAUGCAGUGUCGCAGGGAAGCCGUUAAGUCUGCCGCCUGGGAAGUACGUACGCAAGUAUGAAACUUAAAGGAAUUGGCGGGGGAGCACCACAAGGGGUGAAGCCUGCGGUUCAAUUGGAGUCAACGCCAGAAAUCUUACCCGGAGAGACAGCAGAAUGAAGGUCAAGCUGAAGACUUUACCAGACAAGCUGAGAGGUGGUGCAUGGCCGUCGCCAGCUCGUGCUGUGAGAUGUCCUGUUAAGUCAGGUAACGAGCGAGAUCCCUGCCACUAGUUGCUAUCAUUAUUCUCAGGAAUAAUGGAGCGAAUUAGUGGGACUGCCGUUGUUAAAACGGAGGAAGGAGGGGGCCACGGCAGGUCAGUAUGCCCCGAAACUCUGGGGCCACACGCGGGCUGCAAUGGUAGUGACAAUGAGUUCCAAACUCGAAAGAGAGUGGCAAUCUCUAAACGCUACCACAGUUAUGACUGAGGGCUGUAACUCGCCCUCACGAAUAUGGAAUCCCUAGUAACCGCGUGUCAUUACCGCGCGGUGAAUACGUCCCUGCUCCUUGCACACACCGCCCGU